rnacentral:rRNA from 1 species
GAUGAACGCUAGCGGCAGGCCUAAUACAUGCAAGUCGAACGGUGUCUUCGGACAUAGUGGCGCACGGGUGCGUAACACGUAUGCAACCUACCUUACAUUGGGGGAUAGCCUUUCGAAAGGGAGAUUAAUACCGCAUAAGACAGUAGCUGGGCAUCCAGCAGCUGUUAAAGAUUUAUCGAUGUAAGCUGGGCAUGCGUCCAAUUAGCUAGUUGGUGAGGUAACGGCUCACCAAGGCAAUGAUUGGUAGGGGAACUGAGAGGUCAAUCCCCCACACUUGAACUGAGAGACGGGCCAGACUCCUACGGGAGGCAGCAGUAGGGAAUAUUGGGCAAUGGACGCAAGUCUGACCCAGGCAUGCCGCGUGCAGGAUGAAGGCGUUAUGCGUUGUAAACUGCUUUUAUACAGGAAGAAACGACUCUUGCGAGAGGCAUUGACGGUACUGUAUGAAUAAGCACCGGCUAACUUCGUGCCAGCCGCCGCAGUAAUAC